GAUGAACGCUGGCGGCGUGCUUAACACAUGCAAGUCGAACGGAAAGGCCCAAGCUUGCUUGGGUGCUCGAGUGGCGAACGGGUGAGUAACACGUGGGUGAUCUGCCCUGCACUUUGGGUUAAGCCUGGGAAACUGGGUCUAAUACCGGAUAGGACCAUCGUUUAGUGUCGGUGGUGGAAAGUUUUUCGGUGUGGGAUGAGCUCGCGGCCUAUCAGCUUGUUGGUGGGGUAAUGGCCUACCAAGGCGUCGACGGGUAGCCGGCCUGAGAGGGUGUACGGCCACAUUGGGACUGAGAUACGGCCCAGACUCCUACGGGAGGCAGCAGUGGGGAAUAUUGCACAAUGGGCGCAAGCCGGAUGCAGCGACGCCGCGUGGGGGAUGACGGCCUUCGGGUUGUAAACGCCUUUCGCCAAGGACGAAGCGUUUUGUGACGGUACUUGGAGAAGAAGCACCGGCUAACUACGUG
rnacentral:rRNA from 1 species